rnacentral:rRNA from 1 species
AUUGAACGCUGGCGGCAGGCCUAACACAUGCAAGUCGAACGAGUGGCGGACGGGUGAGUAAUGUCUGGGAAACUGCCUGAUGGAGGGGGAUAACUACGGGAAACGGUAGCUAAUACCGCAUACCAUCAGAUGUGCCCAGAUGGGAUUAGCUUGUUGGUGGGGUAACGGCUCACCAAGGCGACGAUCCCUAGCUGGUCUGAGAGGAUGACCAGCCACACUGGAACUGAGACACGGCCCAGACUCCUACGGGAGGCAGCAGUGGGGAAUAUUGGACAAUGGGCGCAAGCCUGAUGCAGCCAUGCCGCGUGUAUGAAGAAGGCCUUCGGGUUGUAAAGUACUUUCAGCGGGGAAGCGUUACCCGCAGAAGAAGCACCGGCUAACUACGUGCCAGCAGCCGCGGUAAUAC